rnacentral:rRNA from 1 species
UACGAAGGGUGCAAGCGUUACUCGGAAUUACUGGGCGUAAAGCGUGCGUAGGUGGUUUGUUAAGUCUGAUGUGAAAGCCCCGGGCUUAACCUGGGAAUGGCAUGGGAAACUGGCGGGCUGGAGUGUGGCAGAGGGGGGUGGAAUUCCGCGUGUAGCAGUGAAAUGCGUAGAGAUGCGGAGGAACACCGAUGGCGAAGGCAGCCCCCUGGGCUAACACUGACGCUCAGGCACGAAAGCGUGGGGAGCAAACAGG